rnacentral:rRNA from 1 species
UGGGGAAUUUUGGACAAUGGGGGCAACCCUGAUAAUCAAUGCCGCGUGAGUGAAAAAGGCCUUCGGGUUGUCCAGCUCUUUCGGCGGGGAAGAAAGGGCAACGGCUAAUAUCCGUUGUUGAUGACGGUACCCUCAUAGGAGGCCGGGAAUUUAGGGCCCCGGGCCGCGGUAUUGAA